rnacentral:piRNA from 1 species
UGACACAUUGUCUAGUGACUAGCACGAAGUC